GCGGUGGAGCAUGUGGUUUAAUUCGAAGCAACGCGAAGAACCUUACCAGGUCUUGACAUCCCUGACAACCCAAGAGAUUGGGCGUUCCCCUUCGGGGGACAGGGUGACAGGUGGUGCAUGGUUGUCGUCAGCUCGUGUCGUGAGAUGUUGGGUUAAGUCCCGCAACGAGCGCAACCCUCGCCUCUAGUUGCCAGCAUUCGGUUGGGCACUCUAGAGGGACUGCCGGCGACAAGUCGGAGGAAGGUGGGGAUGACGUCAAAUCAUCAUGCCCCUUAUGACCUGGGCUACACACGUACUACAAUGGCGCAUACAACGAGCUGCGAGAUGGUGACAUCAAGCGAAUCUCUUAAAAUGCGUCUCAGUUCAGAUUGGAGUCUGCAACUCGACUCCAUGAAGUCGGAAUCGCUAGUAAUCGCGGAUCAGCAUGCCGCGGUGAAUACGUUCUCGGGGUUU
rnacentral:rRNA from 1 species